AUAUCAAUAAGCGGAGGAAAAGAAACUAACCAGGAUUCCCCUAGUAACGGCGAGCGAAGCGGGAAUAGCUCAAAUUUUAAAUCGGACUUUUUGUUCGAGUUGUAAUUUGAAGAGACGUUUUCACGUCAUUUACCAGGUCUAAGUGCUUUGGAAUAAGCCAUCAGAGAGGGUGAGAAUCCCGUCUUUGAUCUGGUUAUUGGCGGUACGAUACGUCCUCUAAGAGUCGAGUUGUUUGGGAUUGCAGCUCAAAAUGGGUGGUAAAUUCCAUCUAAGGCUAAAUAUAGGCGAGAGACCGAUAGCGCACAAGUA
rnacentral:rRNA from 1 species